GUCAAAAAGGGAAAGGGGGACAUGCCAGCAGCCUGAACAGGGUGGGCAAGGCCACAGGGCCAUGAGUCACCGAGAAGUGUUAGUACCACUGCAAACAGCGCGCGUGCCUGGAGCCAGGACGGCAGGGAGUCAGGCAGGAGGAGGGAGGAGCAGGCUGGAGCCCGAUCCUAAAGAGCCUUGCUGCCCGGUCGUACUCCCACCUCCCCGCGGCCAAAGACAGGCGGCCCGCCCCGGGCUGCGAGCAGCCUGCGGCGCGAGAUAAGGAGCGCGGUCGCGACAGACCCGCGCGGUACCCGCCGCCAGCCCGCCCGGCGGGCGCACCAUCCAGCUCCGAAACGCAGGAACCGGGACUUUUGUUUUUGCCGCAGGACGGGACUCAGAGAGCACACAAUGCCCAGUGUUGAAACUCCCUGUUUGGAAGGAAGAACAGUUGCACAUCUGGGAGAGACUUCAGGGAGCAAGCUGCACUCUGCACAGGAACCAUCACGCCUGUCCCCAGAAUCAGAAGGAGAUGGGAAUGGAACCCCUAUUCCCUCGGGCAUCAGUCAAAUCUAGAGAAAGCUGGCAGAGGCUAAAAUGUCAAAACACAGAUAUGAUGAUGAUGAUGAUGUUAUAUAUUGAAGCUUCCUGGAUACCAGACACUGUGCUAAGCACCACACAGACAUGCUAUCUGUCUGGCUCACUGUUGGAUCCCACUACCUAACACAAUGGCUGGCAUAUAGCAGAUGCUCAAAAUAUACUGACCUCUGAAGAGGAGCUAUUUUUAUUUGCACAUUAUGGAUGCGUCACUGAGACUUAGAAAGGUCAAGUAGCUUACACAAGAUCUCACAGUCAUUAACUGGCCAAGCCAAGAUUAGAAGUCAACCAUUUGGCUCCCAACUACAUGCUCAUAGCUGCCAUGCUGCACUGACUCUUGAGGAAUAGGCAGGAAGAAAGAAAUCACCUGGGCAGAAGCAAAGCCAAGGAAAAGCCCUGGGAUGCUGUGUGAGGCACCAGAACUAAGCACGGUUCAAGUCUAACCUGCUACAUGGAUGUUACAUUUGUGUCCCCGUGGUCAUGACCUAAAGCUGGGAUAGGGGCUAGGGACCAAAGAGAAAAAGCCCAUUUUCUCAGAGAUCAGAGUUGUUGAAAAUAGAACUGAAAUAAUAUGAAUAUAUUUUCAAGAAAGAGUAACAACCUUAAAAGUUAGAGUUAGAUGAAGAAGCAGCUACUUGUUUCUCCCAAACAAGAGAAGACCAGUAAUAAACUAAAGAAU